CCCUGUUUCGAAAGUGACCGUGGUGUGUGUGGUCUCCAGGUCAUUGAUAAAACAGGAAGAGGAAGUGAAAGUGUUUCCCGUGUGUGCUGGACUCUGUUCCUGACAGACCCUGAAUCUUUCACACA
ensembl:snoRNA SNORA71 Small nucleolar RNA SNORA71